rnacentral:lncRNA from 1 species
AAGAUGUUCACACCGAUUCAAAACCAAGUUCUACACACUCAUUUUAAGGUCUACUUGAAAGAAAAAUUAUACUUUUACAUUAAUAUUAAGGACAUGGAUUUACUAGGUCCUCAAAGUUUCCUAUCACAGAAUCAACUGAAAGUUAUGUUUAAUACACAAAACAAAGCACAAUGAAAUGAAUAUGUUACGCGUGCUUUUUUGUUCAUGAUGGGAGUGGCCAAGAAAUUUUUCAUAUUUAUAAGGUUAUUGUCAUAGAGUAACCAACAACUUACUUCACGACCAUAAGAGAACGAUUACAGUCAUUCAAUUGUUGAUAAAGGCAUUUGUUUGGGUUUAUAAUUGAAGUCACAAAGCCACAUCCUUACAAAAAAUAUCAAAGUCACACAAGGCAGGAAAUCCUAAUAAAAAGUAUUGUGAAGCUUUUUCUAUUAUCAUUUGAUUUCUACGAACUCCGACCUAAAUUACUCUAUUAAUUGAGAGAUAAACUCACUCAUGAAGAUCUAGAAAGUAUUUGGUUCUGUUAUACUUCACAAACUUCUGUAGAUCAACAUCAGGAUUGACAAUGGUAUUUAAUGCUUAUAAAAUAUAAAAAUUAAUUAUCAUUCUUCCAUGUCGGAUAUCCUUUUUUUUUUAUCCUCCAUCGUUGCUCUCCACCGUUAUACGAAUAUUGUUUUAAAAAAAAUGUUCUCAUUGGAUUAUAAAAUAAGUUCCUGUAACUUAAAAUAGUUUAAAAUAAGAGGUACGAGCUCUAAACAAGUUUUUAAAUCCUACUGCAGGAUGUGUGGGUGCUCACUGUAAUUGAAUAUAUAUCUCACUACUCAGGAAUUAAGUGAUAAUAACAAUUGGUAAGCAAUUUUUCAGAUUAUCAAUUAAAAAAAAAAAAAAAAAAAAAAAAAAA